ACCGAAGUACUUGAAGCUUCAUGAUGUAUUCAACGCAACUAUUGUUUUACCUGUUAUCCUAUAUAUCCAUUGCAAAAGGGUAUAUACGCAUUGAUAAAAAUUUUUUUGACGAUGAAAAUAGUUAUUGGUCACAAUCAGGCAAUAGUUUAAACAAAUGGAGCGAAGAAAAUGAAAAAAGGACAUAUGAAGUUGUUAAUCAGCCGAUGUGUGGUAAUCUACCAUUUGAUGACAGUAUUUAUUUUUGCAAUAAUGGAAACAAAUACAAUAAACAACUUUAUCAGUUGUGUGGAAGUGGUGUAGUAUUAAAAAGCUCCUACCUUUGCAGUAAAGGUAAAUCAUACCCAAAAUCUGAAUACAGCCUUUGUGGAAAUGAAAUUUUUGAAAUUAAAAAAUGCUUUUGUUA
rnacentral:lncRNA from 1 species